rnacentral:rRNA from 1 species
CUAACACAUGCAAGUCGAACGGUAACAUUUCUAGCUUGCUAGAAGAUGACGAGUGGCGGACGGGUGAGUAAUACUUGGGGAUCUGCCUUUGAGAGGGGGAUAACUACUGGAAACGGUAGCUAAUACCGCAUAACGUCUACGGACCAAAGGGGGCUUCGGCUCGCGCUCAAAGAUGAACCCAAGCGAGAUUAGCUAGUUGGUGAGGUAAAGGCUCACCAAGGCGACGAUCUCUAGCUGUUCUGAGAGGAAGAUCAGCCACACUGGGACUGAGACACGGCCCAGACUCCUACGGGAGGCAGCAGUGGGGAAUAUUGCACAAUGGGGGAAACCCUGAUGCAGCCAUGCCGCGUGUGUGAAGAAGGCCCUAGGGUUGUAAAGCACUUUCAGUCGUGAGGAAAGGUUAACGGUUAAUACCCGUUAGCUGUGACGUUAGCGACAGAAGAAGCACCGGCUAACUCCGUGCCAGCAGCCGCGGUAAUACGGAGGGUGCGAGCGUUAAUCGGAAUUACUGGGCGUAAAGCGCACGCAGGCGGUUUGUUAAGCUAGAUGUGAAAGCCCCAGGCUCAACCUGGGAACAGCAUUUAGAACUGACUGACUAGAGUCUUGGAGAGGGGAGUGGAAUUCCAGGUGUAGCGGUGAAAUGCGUAGAGAUCUGGAGGAACAUCAGUGGCGAAGGCGACUCCCUGGCCAAAGACUGACGCUCAUG